AGGGGAUGUUACUAUAUUGCCUACCCUUGUUGUCAAUAAUCGACAAUAUCGAGGAAAAUUGGAGAAAGGUGCAGUUCUGAAGGCCAUAUGUUCAGGUUUUGAGGAAACAACCGAACCUGCUAUUUGUUUGAGUAGUGAUGUAGAGACCAAUGAAUGCUUAGACAAUAAUGGUGGUUGCUGGCAAGAUAAAGCAGCAAAUUUAACAGCCUGCAA
rnacentral:misc_RNA from 1 species